rnacentral:rRNA from 1 species
AGUGGCAGACGGGUGAGUAACACGUGGGAACGUACCCUUUGGUUCGGGACAACUCUGGGAAACUGGAGCUAAUACCGGAUACGCCCUUUUGGGGAAAGGUUUACUGCCGAAGGAUCGGCCCGCGUCUGAUUAGCUAGUUGGUGGGGUAACGGCCUACCAAGGCGACGAUCAGUAGCUGGUCUGAGAGGAUGAUCAGCCACACUGGGACUGAGACACGGCCCAGACUCCUACGGAAGGCAGCAGUGGGGAAUAUUGGACAAUGGGCGCAAGCCUGAUCCAGCCAUGCCGCGUGAGUGAUGAAGGCCUUAGGGUUGUAAAGCUCUUUUAUCCGGGACGAUAAUGACGGUACCGGAGGAAUAAGCCCCGGCUAACUUCGUGCCAGCAGCCGCGGUAAUACGAAGGGGGCUAGCGUUGCUCGGAAUCACUGGGCGUAAAGGGCGCGUAGGCGGCGUUUUAAGUCGGGGGUGAAAGCCUGUGGCUCAACCACAGAAUGGCCUUCGAUACUGGGACGCUUGAGUCUGGUAGAGGUUGGUGGAACUGCGAGUGUAGAGGUGAAAUUCGUAGAUAUUCGCAAGAACACCGGUGGCGAAGGCGNCCAACUGGACC